GCUCGCUCUGGCUCCACGCCCAGGCCUCACUUCCAGCGGCGGCCCCGGUCCCGGAGCGCGGCGGGUGCGGCCGUGGGUGCCGGUUGGCAGCUUCUCUCGAACCUUCUCUCCCUCAGCGCUCGCCCGCUACUUAGACGGGCGCCUCCCGGGCCUGGGCGGCACCGAAGCAGCCGGAGGGCCCGUGAAGGUGCGGGCGGCGGGGCUGCCCCCCAGCUUUGUGGAUCCCCAGGUCGGGGCGGGGGAGGGCCUCUCUGCGUCUCUACCACACCGCGGCCACCUCGGAGGUCGCCGGUCAGGGGACCGCACUGGGUUAGGCCAACCAGCUCCACGCACACACGCACCUGAGCCAAGGCGGCUGCUCGUGCUGCCGGGAAAGGCCGCCGGUUGCAAGAAGAGGCAAGUCUGCGCUCCCGCCGGGCCGCCCACCAGCUGUUCGAGGCCGGGCAAGGCCCUGGGGCCCGGGCUCCUCAACCCCCACCACGCUCGAGGGGCCCCCGCAACCCUUCCCAAACGGGAUGCCAGACGCUGCCCCGGUCGCGCCGAACCCCAACCUCGGGGCAUCCGCGCUGUACAAGCUCUGCGGGCGACCGUCCUGUGCUCUACGCUCCCUGAGCCUCAGUGUCGCCCUCUGAACAAUGGGUAUAAAAUCGUUUUUUACCUUACAGGACCGUUGAGAAGAAAAAACAGAAAUAGAUAUUAAGAAUCCCUUCGUGAAUGACAAAGUGCCAAAGUACUUUCCCUGGGAGACGGAAAUUUUAACAGAGGUCACCAAGACCUCUUAGUGUCGCAUCGGGACAGAUGGCUUCUGGCACAAGUUACCCUGUUGGAGAAACCUGGAGGAUAGAAAAGCGUUUUAACAUGUCCAUCUCAGGGGCGCCUGGGUGGCUCAGGCGCUUGAGCGUCUGCCUUUGGCUUGGGUCACAAUCCCGGGGCUCUGGGCUUGAAGCCCCCAUCAGGCCCCCUGCUCAGCAGGGGGUCUGCUUCUCCCUCCCCCUCUGCUCCCCCACUCGUGCUCCUCUCUCUGUCAAAUAAAUAAAAUCUUUAAAAUCUAUU
rnacentral:lncRNA from 1 species